AUUGAACGCUGGCGGCAGGCUUAACACAUGCAAGUCGAGCGGGGUGAUGGUGCUUGCACUAUCACUUAGCGGCGGACGGGUGAGUAAUGCUUAGGAAUCUGCCUAUUAGUGGGGGACAACAUCUCGAAAGGGAUGCUAAUACCGCAUACGUCCUACGGGAGAAAGCAGGGGAUCACUUGUGACCUUGCGCUAAUAGAUGAGCCUAAGGCGGAUUAGCUAGUUGGUGGGGUAAAGGCCUGCCAAGGCGACGAUCUGUAGCGGGUCGGAGAGGGUGCUCCGCCACACUAGACUGGGAAACGGCCCAGACUCCUACGGGAGGCAGCAGUGGGGAAUAUUGGACAAUGGGGGGAACCCUGAUCCAGCCAUGCCGCGUGUGUGAAGAAGGCCUUAUGGUUGUAAAGCACUUUAAGCGAGGAGGAGGCUCUUUUGGUUAAUACCCAAGAUGAGUGGACGUUACUCGCAGAAUAAGCACCGGCUAACUCUGUGCCAGCCGCCGCGGUAA
rnacentral:rRNA from 1 species